GUAUGGUGCUGGGUGCAGAUGCAGUGUGGCUCUGGAUAGCACCUUAUGGACAGUUGUGUCCCCAAGGAAGGAUGAGAAUAGCUACUGAAGUCCUAAACAGCAAGCCUAACUCAAGCCAUUGGCACACAGGCAUUAGACAGAAAGCUGGAAGUUGAAAUGGUGGAGUCCAACUUGCCUGGACCAGCUUAAUGGUUCUGCUCCUGGUAACGUUUUUAUCCAUGGAUGACUUGCUUGGGUAAGGACAUGAAGACAGUUCCUGUCAUACCUUUUAAAGGUAUGGAGAGUCGGCUUGACUACACUGUGUGGAGCAACUUUUAAAGAAGCAAAGGACUCAGAAUUCAUGAUUGAAGAAAUGCAGGUUAGUUUAAACUUUUAAGGAAAUUUUUAAGGUGGCAAAAGGUUUUGGUGGCAUAUACACCUUAAUCUGUAGAUGGGAGUGAUUAGCUGUUUAAAAGUUAAAAUGUGACUGAGAAGGAAAUUGAGUAGGGCAAAUUUUAAAUGGGUAUUAUUUUUCAUCUUCAAACAGGCAGACCUGUUAUCCUAAACUAGGGUUUUUAACGACCACAACAAGCAAGCAUGCAGCUUACUGCUUGAAAGGGUCUUGCCUCACCCAAGCUGGAGUGCAGUGGCCUUUGAAGCUUACUACAGCCUCAAACUUCUGGGCUCAAGUGAUCCUCAGCCUCCCAGUGGUCUUUGUAGACUGCCUGAUGGAGUCUCAUGGCACAAGAAGAUUAAAACAAUGUCUCCAAUUUUAAUAAAUUUUUGCAAUCCA
rnacentral:sRNA from 1 species